UACUUUUAUUAAAAUACAUUGUUCACACCUCAGGGCCUAACAAAGCAAGGGUGCUCCAACAACUGUGGCGUGUUUGUUUUGAUGGUAAGACCUAAUCAGUAUGUUAUAGCAUUGCUGUUGUCUGUAAAAAUGUUUGUUUGCUACAUUAAAACCACAUUAAUUUGUAUUGAAAAAAAAUUAUCCUUCGGAACACGCCUGACAUUAUAUUAACCAGUACCUCUUGACUUUCAGUACACUCUGUACAUUGUAAUGGGGGCCAAUUGUGAUUUCAGAGAGGUAUGUGUAAAUCGUGACACAUUAUGCUUAGUGUACAAGGUGUUAUUUCUUUUUACAACAUAUUAACAUCUUCCUGCAUUUCCUUCUUCAAAGGAAAACAUGCUGCAAAUUAGGAGAUGGUGGUGUCUCGCUCUCCUGCAGAACUUCCCCAUACCAUCUGAGGAAGACCGAUUGCAGGACAGAAAACGGCGACGAGUGCAAGGAGGGCUACAGACGCUGGGAAAUUGACGGACCUGGAAACCGGGAACAGGGUUGCUUGCUAUGGGCCAGAAAAAUACCUUGAUACUUGCCUUUGUCAAACAUUUAUGGAAGCUUUUUUUUUUUCUUCUUUACA